CUUUAUAAUACAGCCCGUGUUUUACGACGUAACUCCCCGUGUCUUACGGCGUAACUUCCCGUGUCUUACGGCGUAACUCCUCUAAGACCUGCCGGGGUCUUACAGUGGAACUGCUACUGUCUUAUGCUGUCACUCCCAGUGUCUUAUAAUGGAACUUCAUGCGUCUUACCUUGCACUUACUGGGACUUCCCGGGUGACUCUCUGACAUCUACCAUGACAUUUUGGGGGAGCCUAUAUGGUUUAGUUUCACUUAUGACUUACAGUGUAACUCGCUAUGUCUUACAGUAAAACGUCUUACAGUCCAACUCCUUUUGUCUUACCAUGUAGGCCUACUUAUUAAAACUUAUAACUAUAAAAUCAGAUAUGAUUUACAGUUUUAAAAUACACGAAAAUCAUACUGCAAUAUGUAACCUGUUUAAUCACACAAUGACAACUUCAGAGUUAUAAAAUAUCUUUAUUCUUUACCACGCAGACACCUGGUACUUACAUGCUAAGUGCCCAAGACUUCCCCUGUAAGUACCAGGGACCGGGUUGUAUUGUAAAGUGCACACUGUUCACCCUUCCUUACCAUGCAGGUACCUGGUACUUACACUCUAAGCACCCGAGACUUCUGCUGUACCUACCAGGGACUUUCCCUGUAAUUACCAGAGACCUACACUGUACUUAUCAGGGAGCGGGCUGUAUUAUAAAUUGCACACUGUUCACCCUUCCUUACCAUGCAGGUACCUGGUACCAGGCAAAGUGCAUACUGGUAAAUAAAC